CAUGAGUUCUUCUGUUUCUUCUGCGUGGGUUGACCAUGGGCAUCAGGCAUCAGAGAUACAACUCUGGAUCUUGUCCAUCCAUUGCUGGGCACUCUGUCCAUCCUGGGCGCAGAAGUUAUACACACGUUUGCUGGUCUUGAGCUACAAAACCAAAUGACAGUGAACCAGAGAUGAAGGGCAGGGCUGUUUUAUGGAUUUGGGCAUGGUAUGAGCAGGGCUAAGUGGAAAAAACUGUAUCUAUCUUUCAUGUUAAAGAAGUCCAGAAGACUGACCUCUGGGGAAAGACUGCUGCUUUCUGCUGGGAUUACCACAUCUGUGAGGCUUGGAAUGAUCAGUAGCCAUCCUUUGUGCCAUGUUGGGACUGACAUAACACAGAGAGAGGGCAAAGCAGAGCCAGGAAGUGGAUAGAAGAUACUGUGUGAGAAGCUAGCAUACCCUUGGCUGUCCUAGCUUAUGU
rnacentral:lncRNA from 1 species